rnacentral:rRNA from 1 species
GACGAACGCUGGCGGCGUGCUUAACACAUGCAAGUCGAGCGGUAAGGCCCUUUCGGGGUACGACGAGCGGCGAACGGGUGGAGUAACACGUGGGUGGACCUGCCCUCCAGCUCUGGGAGUAAGCCUGGGAAACCGGGUACUAAUACUGGAUAUGACUCCAUGACGCAUGUUGGUGGGGUGGAAAGCCUUGUGCGGCUGAGGAUGGGCCCGCGGCCUAUCAGCUUGUUGGUGGGGUGAGGCCUACCAAGGCGACGACGGGUAGCCGGCCUGAGAGGGCGACCGGCCACACUGGGA